rnacentral:RNase_P_RNA from 1 species
CCAGACGGCCGGGCGGUCGCGGGCCUCGCAAGAGGCUCGAGGAAAGUCCGGGCUCCACGACGACAUGGCGGCGGGUAACGCCCGCCGGGGGCGACCCCAGGGAUAGCGCCACAGAAAGCAAACCACCUCCCUCCGGGGAGGUAAGGGUGAAAGGGUGCGGUAAGAGCGCACCGCGUCGGUGGCAACAUCGGCGGCAUGGCAAGCCCCGCCAGGAGCAAGACCGAAUAGGGACCCCGCGCCCUUCGCAAGAAGGGUAGGGCCGUCGCCGGCCUGAGGGCGUCCGGGUAGGUCGCGAGAACCGUCCCGCGAGGGACGGUCCAGAGGAAUGGCCGCCGCGUCCGGGUCUUCGGAUCCGGGCGGCACAGAACCCGGCUUACAGGCCGUCUGGUCCG